CGAAUAGGGGUGCCUGCAAGGAGGCUGAGAUAAUACCCUUUAACUUGAACUGGUUAGUACCAGCGUAAGGAAUUCGA
rnacentral:ncRNA from 1 species